GACGAACGCUGGCGGCGUGCCUAAUACAUGCAAGUUGAGCGCUGAAGGUUGGUACUUGUACCAACUGGAUGAGCAGCGAACGGGUGAGUAACGCGUGGGGAAUCUGCCUUUGAGCGGGGGACAACAUUUGGAAACGAAUGCUAAUACCGCAUAAAAACUUUAAACACAAGUUUUAAGUUUGAAAGAUGCAAUUGCAUCACUCAAAGAUGAUCCCGCGUUGUAUUAGCUAGUUGGUGAGGUAAAGGCUCACCAAGGCGAUGAUACAUAGCCGACCUGAGAGGGUGAUCGGCCACAUUGGGACUGAGACACGGCCCAAACUCCUAUGGGAGGCAGCAGUAGGGAAUCUUCGGCAAUGGACGAAAGUCCGACCGAGCAACGCCGCGUGAGUGAAGAAGGUUUUCGGAUCGUAAAACUCUGUUGGUAGAGAAGAACGUUGGUGAGAGUGGAAAGCUCAUCAAGUGACGGUAACUACCCAGAAAGGGACGGCUAACUACGUG
rnacentral:rRNA from 1 species